rnacentral:misc_RNA from 1 species
AAGUCGUAACAAGGUUUCCGUAGUGAACCUGCGGAAGGAUCACUAACACGUAUCCAACGUUAAACCAUGAGUUACAUCCACGUCAUAAACCGGCAAUCUCUGGUAAAUCAUCGCCGAACAGUUUUUGAUUCAGAGACCUCUGGGAAGGGUGUACGGUAGUGCGAGGCAAUUGACCUGGCAUUCCUCUGCUUGUUAGUGUCUGAAAGUGUCACUAGCUAUGUACGGAUGGCGCAGUAACGAUCGCUGGAGGCCGACACGGCCGGCGACCAGGUCACUGGGCUACGGCCCCCCUGAUCACAACCUUUGCAUGAAAACGGGCCUGCGCUGAGGUGCGGCCACCCCUAAUGCUUGAACAACUGUUAACAAUGGAUAUCUUGGUUCUC